UUAAGCAUGGUUUAUUGGUAUUUUAAUAUUGCUUUUUGUGACUACGUAGUCAGUCUUCACAGCAAAUGUCAGUUGCACUGGAAUUCUUGACUUUUGGCUGGGGAGGGGCUCCUUUCUCCUUACCUUUUCCUGUCUUUCUAGCCAGGCUCAGUGUUUGCAACUUUUAUACUCAACACCUGAAUACUGAAUCUUGCUAGAUGUGUGAGUCUUCUGGCAAGCUGAGUGCUCGCCUCUGUACCUCCUGCCACCUAUUGCUCUAGUCCAGUAUAGCCCUAUGCAUUGUGUCGGCCCUGUGUUAUCCGUGGGUGUUCGAGAGUGGAUAAGACGGGGCUAGAUAGGAGGGUAGGGUUGGGCCCCAGUUUCCACCCUGUAAUGGGCCUUGAAGCAGCUGAAAGGGCGAUGGGUUUGGCGGCACCAGGACUGCAUUGUCUGGGACUGAGACGAAGUGAUGCCAUGCCAAGCGAGGCAGAGUCCAGUGCCGGAAUGCCGAGAGCGGCUGCCUUCGAGCCAUCCAUCCUUUAGCGCCCUCUUCUUGUAUCUCUCUUUCGAGCUCCCUUGGAAGCGUGAGUUAGCGUCCCUAGUGCGGGUGUUUCUCCCCAUCAGAGACCAUUCCCCUUUCUCCCAGGCAUCUGCGAGGGUUGGGGUCAAAGCUGGCUGCCUCGGGGUCGUCAUCUGGGACUGGUCAAGGGACCCCGGCCUCUGGAAGAGCAGUUUGAGGCUGAACGACGGUCAGAGGCGGGGUUUCGGGUGGACUGACGUGACGGAACAGAGAUGCUGAACAGUGCGAAGUUUGACGAUCUCCACUCCCAACACUUCACAGGAACGCCAAAUUUCUACCAGAACUUCAGGAUUCUGCAGGCCUUCUCUCCGCUUGUUGGUUCGCACCUGUGUAUCGCCUCCAUCUGCAAAAGCCCUCACCUCUGUUCCUAGGGAAUGGAAUACAGAGUAGCCUUUUCUCAGCUGUAAAGACUUCUGUCAGAGACCCAAGGCUGUGGAGCCAGACAGGACUUAAAGGAAGUGGCAAAUUCCGGCCUUGCCCUGGGAAGAAGGGCGCCAAAGCUCAGUGGGAGUGGCUUGGCCUGGCUUCAGAGCCCAAGGUUUCCUUUGGCCCUAGGAAUCACAUUCAUGGUGGGAAAUAGUAGAACACUGGCGGAAAUGCUUUCUAAAAAUACCCUUCAAGGAAGGUGAGAAAGCCUGUGUAAAGGAACAAUGACUUAUUUCUACUGGUAUGGUAAAUCUGUAAGGCUGAAUGGAUUAUAGAAAACGCAUUCCCAGCACACCUGCUACUUGGGAGAUUUUUUUUAAGGAGCAAAGCAGAAAAAUCAAAGUCUGUAGGGCGACCCCACCCAUGUGUGAAAAAUACGAGGCCAGCUUCAGAAAGAGAGAUAGUGAUAGGCAAGCAACCUGAAGAUGGUUGAGUCUCCCCUUGCAUGGAACAAGGUUGGGAACCAGCCUAGAGAGAAGAUGGGAAGCAGGUUCUUGAAAGCACCACUUCACUCACUCACAGGCAUCUUGGUAAAAGCGUCAGAGUAUAUCUAUUCACAUGAUCGGCACAUUCCUGAAGGGCUGGAGAUGCUAGGGCAAGGGUACCUAGCCUUUGGAGUUUCACUGCCCCCUGGAGCCCUUGUUAGUCUUGUCCAUUCUGAUCACAGUGAGGCCUUUGGUUCCUGGUUAGGAAUAGAUGCCUCUCAAUGCCCUUUGGCACUUGAGAGGUGCCAAGGUUUGUAGCUGGAGAAAUAAGGAAGGAGUGGAAAAAUCCAUGCUCCACAGGGAAGAGUCAGAGCCCCAUGCCGCCUGGGCCAAAGUUCUCUGCCUAGAAAGGCAGGGCCACAUUCACAGCAGGGCCUCACAGUGUCACUUCCACCUUAACUGCACCGAGAACAGAGGACAAAAGGGUGCAGCAAGUCUAGCAAAAUAAGGUCUGUAAUACUAGGCCACCAUGAUAUGCUAAUAAAGUAGUAAUAAACACAA
rnacentral:sRNA from 1 species